UACGGAGGGUGCAAACGUUGCUCGGAAUCAUUGGGCGUAAAGCGCACGUAGGUGGUUUGUUAAGUCGGGUGUGAAAUCCCUGGGCUCAACCCAGGAAGUGCACUCGAAACUGGCAGACUUGAGUACUGAAGAGGGUCGCGGAAUUCCCGGUGUAGAGGUGAAAUUCGUAGAUAUCGGGAGGAACACUAGUGGCGAAGGCGGCGACCUGGGCAGAUACUGACACUGAGGUGCGAAAGCGUGGGGAGCAAACAGG
rnacentral:rRNA from 1 species